UUGGAGUCAAUCCCAAAUGUUGAACUUGCAAACAUCGGCGUUGUCCUGGAAUUUACAGAUAGGGUAAUUCCUCCUCCACACCUCACUAUGAACGACACCAAGGAUGAUGCUAACCGAAGCGUAGAAUCCGGUCAUGGUAGACUUGAUAUCUCAUUGGACCUUGAGUCCAUGACUGGUCCCUCCGCUGCUGGCAACUCCGCUGACAAGAAUGACGAGGAGGACAAGAAGAAAAAAAA
rnacentral:ribozyme from 1 species